GACGAACCGUGCGAACGUUGUUCGGAUUCGCUGGGCUUAAAGGGCGCGUAGGCGGGUGACCAAGUCCGGGGUGAAAUCUUCCGGCCUAACCGGAAAAGUGCCUUGGAUACUGGUCGCCUGGAGGGAGGUAGGGGCACGCGGAACUCCAGGUGGAGCGGUGAAAUGCGUAGAUAUCUGGAGGAACGCCGGUGGCGAAAGCGGCGUGCUGGACCUCUUCUGACGCUGAGGCGCGAAAGCCAGGGGAGCAAACGGG
rnacentral:rRNA from 1 species